rnacentral:rRNA from 1 species
CCUACGGGGGGCAGCAGUGAGGAAUAUUGGUCAAUGGGCUUACGCCUGAACCAGCCAAGUCGCGUGAGGGAAGACUGCCCUAUGGGUUGUAAACCUCUUUUGUCAGGGAGCAACGCCGGCUACGUGUAGCCGGACUGAGAGUACUUGAAGAAAAAGCAUCGGCUAACUCCGUGCCAGCAGCCGCGGUAAUACGGGGGAUGCGAGCGUUAUCCGGAUUUAUUGGGUUUAAAGGGUGCGUAGGCGGAAUGCAAAGUCAGCGUGAAAAUUGCGGGGCUCAACCUCGCUCCGCAGUUGAUACUGGCGUUCUUGAGUAGGGUAGAGGUAUGCGGAAUGCGUGGUGUAGCGGUGAAAUGCAUAGAUAUCACGCAGAACUCCGAUUGCGAAGGCAGCAUAC